UGUGCCUACGGGACGCAGCAGUGAGGAAUAUUGGUCAAUGGCCGGAAGGCUGAACCAGCCAAGUCGCGUGAGGGAAUAAGGCCCUAUGGGUCGUAAACCUCUUUUGUCAGGGAGCAAAGGCGUCCACGUGUGGACGAGAGGAGAGUACGUGUAGAAAAAGCAUCGGCUAACUCCGUGCCAGCAGGCGCGGUAAUACGGAGGAUGCGAGCGUUAUCUGGCUUUAUUGGGUUUAA
rnacentral:rRNA from 1 species